rnacentral:rRNA from 1 species
CUCUGUUUGAAGGUAUAAAGAGUAUAACCUGCUCACUGAUAAAAGUUUAAGAGCCGCAGUAUUUUGACUGUGCAAAGGUAGCAUAAUCGUUUGUUUUUUAAUUGGAAUCUUGUAUGAAUGGUUGGACAAGAGAAAAACUGUCUUUAUAAGAAAAAUUGAAUUUAACUUUUAGAUGAAAAGGUCUAAAUAAAUUAAAGGGACGAUAAGACCCUAUAAAGCUUAAUAUAAAAAGUUAGUUAAUUAAAUUUUAUUAAAAUAAAAAUGAAUUAAUUUAAUAUAUUUUGUUGGGGCGACAGAGGUAAAAUUAUUAUUAACUACUUAAAUAAGAUUCAAAUAUAAGUGUAAUUUUAAAAGAUCCUAGUUAAAGAUUUAAAGUUUAAGUUACUUUAGGGAUAACAGCGUUAUUUUUUUUGAGAGUACUUAUCGAGAAAAAAGUUUGCGACCUCGAUGUUGAAUUAAAAUAUCUUUAUAAUUGCAGAAGUUAUAAAAGAAGGUCUGUUCGACCUUUAAAUUUUUACAUGAUUUGAGUUCAGACCGGCGUGAG